UCUGCAAACUUUAAAAAAAAAAAAAAGGCUCUCUACCCUCUCUCUCUCACUCUCCUCCUCUCUGGCUAGAGCCAGAAUCCGGCGAGCCGACCGCCGUCAGCCACCGCGCGGUGGCCGAAACUCCAAAAGGUGGGCGGUGCAAGUGGUGACAUGACAAAGGCGGUGGAGCAGGUGGUUAGAAGGUAGUUAGCUGAAAGUCAGGCAUAGGGGCAAUGGCUAGGGUUUUUUUAGUCUUCUUUUUUUCUAAUUGCUAUGGGCUAGGGUUAAAAGGAUUUUGGGCUGUUAGAUUUAAAUGAUUUGAGUUUACUUUGGGGUUAUCUCAUAUGGGUUUGGGUUUAAUUGGUUGGUUUUUUUGAGGCUCAGGCAGAAUCGAGCUUGUACAGUGAUAACUAUUAAUUAUAGUCAGGUACACCUAGUGCUACACAUAUAAAAAAUAAUUGGGAUUUAUUCACAUUUCUUUUAAAAAAUUGAGUAGAUUAAUACAAAUUUUAAAAA